UUCACUACAGUUGAUUAGGGAGGUGAAAACUUAUCUCUGUUUUACACCUUAUGCCGGCAAAGACCUUUGCACUGGAGCAGAGUUUCACUGCUGAAGAAGACAUGUUGUGAUGCUUCCAGGGACCAGUUUGUUCAGGCUGAACAAGAUAGACUAUUAUUAAACUGAGCAAACAACUCCAUGUGAACUUGGUAAAGAAAUAAUCCUUUGCAACCACCUUACUAAUAACCUGGACACACAAAGAAAUGAGUAUACCUGAAGUGGGGCGGAAACUGGGAAAUGGACAGCACACACCAAGAAGGAUCAUCUAAGUAUGGCAAAUAUGUUUUCAUAGUGCUUACAACUUACUCCUUUAUGACCAAUUCCACGAGGUGGUGGGUGUCAGGUCCCCCUCCUUGUACUGUUCAGCUUUGGACUGUCACAGUAGGGAUCAGUCCUGAGAGUCUAAACUACUGCUGCAUCUGCAUGCUGAUGAUACCCAAGUAUAUGUAUAUUUGACUGCUCUUCAUCUGACCCUAGAGACAACAGUCUCCAAACUCAUGUGGUAUCUGGUAGAAUUGGUAUCUGGAUGAAAACCAACUGGCAACAUCUCAACAUGUACAAGAGAGAGGUGGCCCUGAUUGGCAAAAGAGGUGCUUGGAAAAAAUCAAUGAAAUCUGCAUAUAAUCGAGGCGUUGGAGACGUGUGAUCAAUCAUCAUCAAACAUGGCGCACAGUUUCAGUGUUUUAAUAGAUUGAUCACUGUUCAUGUGCUUCCAACACUUCCUAAAAUUACAACCCUUGAUCUCAACUCAGAUGGACAUUUUUCCUUUUCAGGGUGGGGCUUAUUUCAGUCAUCCAUACUUUUGUGACCACUUAGACUGACUUGCAGCUAACUGCAAAAGUUAAUCAUAAAAGCCACCUGGAAACUCCAUCUGGGAAAAAUACAGCUGCCCAUCUUCUCAGCUGUGUAAACUGACAAGAGCAUCAUAUUUUUGUACUCCACUUUCACUGACUGCCAGUUAACCACUGAAUGAAAUUCAUGGUGGGAUACUGGACUCUAUCUACAGUACAGAUUUGGUCUAAGCAUAGGUUGUCUUAAAGAGUAUCUUAUUCUUGUACUCCACUUGCACUGACUGCCAGUUAACCACUGAAUGAAAUGGCUUUUUCCUAUUUGUAGCCUGGCAUAUCAUUAGUAUUCACUAGGAAUGUUCAAAUUCUUAGUUCAAGGUUCACAACUCUGAACAUUUCUAUGAUGAUAUGUAUGCUUAACUGUGUUUAGGGACAACUGUAAGAAAUCUCUCUUCAUCUUUACUUUUACCAAAUUCCAUUAAUUUCUGUCAUAGUUGGGGGAUCUAAAUAUAUGUCUUAGAAUGUACCAGAGUUCUCAGUACCACUUUGGAAACAAAAUGCUACAGUCUUUUAAAAUGUCCCAGGUAAGGUGUAUGUGAAUUUGAAUGACUGAAUCUGUACUGCUCUUUGCCAUAGUAAUGGAGCCUGAGGGAGCUUAUUUACUUAUUAUCACUAUAACCUUUGUAUUUCAGUAGUGUAUAAAAGCCACCAAUCAAAUAUCCAGGUCACAUUGUGCAUGAUACGGUAUGCACAUAUGACCAAAAUACGGUCCCCUUCUUGAAGAGCCUGCCAUCAAGACAUAGGAUGAAAAUUAGCAGGUUGAUUCAACAGAGUUUGCGGAUCCCAAGGUAAUAGCGAGAGUGUUAUGGUUAGUGCCAUUAGCAGUGUUCAGAGUAUACUAGUUUCCCAAUCAUAGUCAUGCACUUUUGUAGGCAUAACCUACAGGUUUAAAGGAAUGAGCAUAGCAUAGUCAGUGAAAUAUGGAUUGUUAUGGGAUCUCUUCCAGUGUGUAGGGCAUGACAGAAAAAUGGUUGAUGGAAAACUUUGCAGAAGGAUAUCAAGGCUGGAAUUGUUUGUGGAGCAGCCAAAGGGUGUCAUAUAUAAAAGAGAGAACAGGGAUACAUCAGGAAGAGCACUGAAUCAGGCAAUGGUUUCCCAUUGUCUCGGUUCAAGUAAUCCAUUUUUCUCUGUCUAGGCUGCUGAUGUGUCUCUAAUCUUUGCUUUUAAGCAUCACUAAGUAUUUUCAUCACUUCUGGGUUAAAGAAAUCUUGCAAAGUCUUUAGGUUGUCAUUCUUUUGGCUGCAUGAGGCCUACAUGGUGACAGAAAUGAGCUACCUCCAGCUGAUGUUCCUUCCUAGCCAGGGUCUUAAAGUGUGUCACCUCCUUUCAUGAUCUGUCUUACAGACAUUACACACCAUGUUAACCUGGCGGUUAGAAAGAUUUGUUGCAGAUCUGCCAGAUUCCUUUUUACCACUUAACAAAACAAUUCUCUCCCACUGCAUUACAGGUUAAGGCCACAGUCAGGGUCUUCAUUUAUCCCAUGCCUACAGUAAUCUGCAUGGAGUACACCCUGGAAUCCCAUUGACUGUAUCAAAAAUGUCAGGCGUUGCUACGCUUAAGACUCAAUAAGGGCAUGAGUUGAUUUAAACACAUACAUCUUUUUCUCUGCCAAAAAAAUCAAUGCUGUCUCUGGCUGUAUUCCUAGUUGUGUUUCAAAUGGCUGUUUCCUGGCUCACCUUUCCACCCCCAUACAUUGCUGAGUACUGUAGCCACACUACACUCUCUCUGCAUCAGCCUGGUUGUGUCCUCCUAAAUAAAAAAAUUUUUUUUUUUUUAAUUUUGAUCCUUUUUUAUUUUUCCCUUUUUCUUUUGUCAUCGCUGUACUACAACACACUGUUUCUUUGAUGCUGAGUCCCAGCUGAUUGAAUGCCUUUGUCUUCAGUGCUAAAACUCGGCAGUGUGGCAGCACUGAUUCAGGAAGAAUGAGAUUUGCAAUAUCCCAUUUUUAGCCCAAGAACAUGAUGGUUUAUAGAGAGAGUGUUUUGUCUGCCCACUGGCUUUAGAUAAUAUUUGCAUGAACCAAAAUUAUUAUCACCUUACUGU